rnacentral:rRNA from 1 species
UACUCCUACGGGAGGCAGCAGUGGGGAAUAUUGCACAAUGGGCGCAAGCCUGAUGCAGCCAUGCCGCGUGUAUGAAGAAGGCCUUCGGGUUGUAAAGUACUUUCAGCGGGGAGGAAGGGAGUAAAGUUAAUACCUUUGCUCAUUGACGUUACCCGCAGAAGAAGCACCGGCUAACUCCGUGCCAGCAGCCGCGGUAAUAC